rnacentral:lncRNA from 1 species
AGGUCACCUUUAGAACCAUUCCGAAGACCGCAAAAAUAUAUUCUUUACCAUUUACCCCUAGAGAGGGUGAACCUGAUUUCAUCUCCUGCUCCCAAGACGAUUCUGCACCUGCCUGAUCACCGCUUUCCUGCUGGUAAAGCUCCAGGUAGGAGCGAGUUCUCAGGGGUAAACGCAUGCACACUUCCCCAAGCCAGCGUCCCCUCCACCCCACCGCAUCCAGCCCUGCAGACGCCCCCACCCCUUUCUCCCUCCUGCGUUCUCCGGGAGGGAGUCCGGCGCAGCACCGCGUCCUGCCGGCCCGGGCGUCCUGUGGGACGCCGGCGCUGCUCCUCGAAGGCGCAAGGUGGAGACUCGCCCUCAGUCGGCCCGCGGUCCCGGCCGGUGCCCCGCCGCUCGCUGCCGCCUUGUCUUCAGUUUCGCAUCCCCAGGGGGCCCAGCCCGGCGGUGCCGGCACGCCGCGCGCUCCGGGGCUGGCUCGGAGGUCACUGGCGUACCCCGCCUUCGGGCUGCUCUCGGCCAUCCAGCUCGGCCCCGCGCCCCGCAACCCCUCGCGGGACCUGCCGCCUCGCCCGUCCGGAGGAAAGGGGUGGGGAACAAGAGGGGGAGAUGCCCGCGCCCCCGGCCCGGCCCCGGCCCCAGUUCCAGCCCAAGGCUCAGUCGGCGACCCCGCCGGCUCAGGGACGCUGCGGGCGCCUCCCGGCCCUGGGGUCGUUCCUGCACAGACCUCCUGACCCUUCGAGAGCCCGGCUCCCGGCGCUGGCCGCACCCGAGCGGCCGAGAACCCGGGCCCGAGCACCGCGAACACGGCCACCCGCUCCCUACUGCGCGGCGUACAGUCUGGGUUUAUCUUCUUGUUCGGCAGAAAGUCACAGGCCGAGACCCCAAUCCCCUCCCCUCCUCGGGGGAGAGUCAGACCCGGAUGUCCCGUUGGGACCUCUGAGGUCCCCGCGUGGCAGACCCCCUCCUGAAAGAUUCGUAAGGGAAACCCUUCAAGGCCGAUUCGCUCCGGACCGCGCACACCGGCUCCGACCAGCCCUCCCGAGGGCGCAGAGCCACCGGAGCGAGCGAAACGCCUUGAAGCGAGAGUACGACGUUGCGGUCGUUCCGUCCGGGUCACCAGGGGGCUGUACUCUUGCUCGACCUUCACCAAACCUAAGAGCUUUUACCUUCUAG